GGUGAACGCUGGCGGCGUGCCUAAUACAUGCAAGUCGAGCGGCCAGAUAAGGAGCUUUCCCCUUUGAAGUUAGCGUCGGACGGGUGAGUAACACGCGGGUAACCUACCUCUAUGGCUGGGAUAACUUCGGGAAACCUUAGCUUAUUCCGGCUAACAUCUAUCACCGCAUGGUUCUAAAUCGCAAGAUGUCUUUGCUUUCACUUAUCGAUUGACCCGCGUCGUAUUAGCUAGUUUGUUAGGUAACGGCCUACCAAGGCGACGAUACGUAGCCGAUCUGAGAGGGUGAUCAGCCACACUGGAACUGAGACACGGUCCAGACUCCUACGGGAGGCAGCAGUAGGGAAUAUUCGACAAUGGGCGAAAGCCUGACGGAGCAAUGCCGCGUGAGUGAAGAAGGGUUUCGGGUCGUAAAACUCUGUUAUUAGGAAAGAAAAAAUGUAUGAGAAAAUGUGCAAAGCUUGACGGUACCUAAACAGAAAGCCACGGCUAACUUCGUG
rnacentral:rRNA from 1 species